rnacentral:lncRNA from 1 species
GCCAAAGUAGGUAUAGAAGUAGAUUGCAGAAAUUAGGGAGGCCAUGAGUUCUCCUUGUCCCAAGUGAAGUUUGCUUCAUCAGAGAGGACAGUGUGGAGGGUGAUAUUUAGACAGAGAUUUUUAGAAGACAGUCCAUCCUUACCUAUGCCAAGCAGUUGUUAACAUGUGACUUCCUUAAAGAUGCAGUGUCUUUGCUCACUACCUUCAGUAACUGACUCAGUGACUUUGGGGUGAUGCCACUUGAUGACAGUGAAAGGGUGCACAUGGACUAGAGUGGGAGAGAGAGUAAUCAGGAAAAUUCUUUGAAUUUUCUUUUGGAACUUGGGAAAAAGGAAGAGAAGCAACUCUUCCUUUGCCCAGGUUAAGGAGCUUUUCUGACCCUUUCUCUUUUUGUUCUUGCUGAUGAUGGAACAACCCAAAGUUCCACCCACAAGACAGAGCCCUACUCCUCUUGCCCAGAAAUGUGACACAUGUAAGAUAGAUAAAGAUGUUGGCUGGGUUUGACUGGACACCCUAAUACACUUCAGUUAUUUUGUUCUUGACUUCAUGCCACACUCUUUCUCAUGUGAGUUUGGUUGGAGGAAAAUUUUGGAACAUUACACAUGGUCUCUGCAGGAAAUUUCAGGAAUUGUUCUCCAGAAGAAUCCCCAACCUUUGGCACUGAGUGAGGCUUGUAUGAUGCUCCCAGACCCCCAGAUUACAGAGUGCUGCUGAGCUGGAUGUUAGGUGAGAUGACAGGAGGUUACAAUUCUUACCUGUCCAGUUAAUUACGUGACCUGUGCUUCACCAAAGCACUUAGACUGGUGAUGGAAGUGGAGCCUUCUUCCACAUGCCUCUGUGGAAGCUUUUUUUACUUUAGGACGGUAUCCUCUUUAAUCAGAUACCAGGAGAGAUGGUGAGGAAUGGGUGGUUGUACAAAAAUCACCCUUAGUGUUCUGAGUUGCAGAGAGACCCCAGGGGUAUUGGGCAGGGGGGCUGACUUUCUCUAGGGAUUUAACUUAUGAC